ACCAUAACCAUACCUGGCUUGACUGCGGACUGACUGACCCAGACCCUGUCGCUCCCCGACCCCGUUCUGAGACAUUAUCAGCUGAGGUCACACUCUGGUGUCGCAGUAGCCACGCCUACCCCUGCAUGUGUUGGCGGUCAUGCUGCAAGGCAGAUGUCGUCACAGUGACGAGUAUGGUUCUGAACCACAAAGCAUGGAUGGUACCUGGUACAUGCAUGUAUCUUCCAGUAAGAUGUUACAGUGUCUGUGACUGGCGUGGGUUCUGAAAUCAUAUGGAUCCAGGCUAGUGAUGCUACUGGUGUUUGUAAAAAGGAAAUUCAAUGCAGAGUAAAUGCCUCGGCGUGUGCCACAGGGGAAGCCACAGGAAGGAAGGACAAGUGGUUCACUGGUAGAAGGCAACACAUCCUGUAGAGUUGCAUCCAGAUGCACGGAUGAUGAGUUUUGGUUUUAGACAUUCAAUGUCUGUGGGGGCCUGGUUUGUCAACAUGGCUUCCACAGCGGCUAUGGUCACCACUGCUGCUGGCCUGUCUCUUAACGAUAAGCAGUUCUGCCAUGGUAUGAAUGAAUUCCGUUGAACAUCAGCUGAGACGAAAUGAAUAUUCUCCACUCCACAAAAUUAACAGGACAUCUGCAGUUGAAUAUCAAAACACAACACACGCUGUUGAAGAUAGACAAUUUUAAUUGCCAUACGUUACAACCAUGUCGUGAGCAAGUUAAAAUGUUACAGUUUGUACAAAAAUAUCACAGUUAAAACCUUCAAAUGAAAUAUCUGCUAAAAAAGAUAAAAUAAAUGCUGGAAUUGAAGAACUGUGGAGGGAACGAAUGAACAGACAGAUGGACAACAACAAACACUUCAAUCACCUCCCAAUGCUAGUCUCCCUCGUGUACACUAAGCGAGUUAGUGACACUGAACUAGUAUCCGGGGAACUGUAUCAGGUACAAAGUGUAAGAUUCCUGUUACCUAUGGCAAACACAAACUAUGAUUUUUCAUUGAUUUGGCCCAAAAAUUAAUCUAUUUGUUAGGUUCAACUUUUCAGAAUUAUUGCCAACAAAUUAUUGAGGGAGGGGGUGGGGGGGGGGAGAGAGGAGACUGUCCAUAUGCCGAGACAGAUGCUUUGAUCAGUGUACAUGACUAAUAUCUGGCGCAUCUAACCUUGGAGAUACUUCAUCAAGUUAUCCUGACAUUGUUAGUUUAAGGAUGUCUGAGGGCUUGUCUGCCGGCCUGUAUUGACAGUACAUCUAUUAUCUUUUCCAGUGAUGGUAAUUUUUCAAAUCUAGAUGACCUAAUCUAACGAUCCAAUUGAAAAAAGGUCAGUGUGCAUUAUAUUUAACUAGGUACAGUUAUUUAAUUAUUAUAACUUUUGUACCAAUUUCACAUUUUACUACAGACAUGUGGAAACCACCUAUUGUACAGUUUUGCACAAAACUAUAAUUAAUAUUACCUGACUUUUGAAAUUAUUUAAUCCCAAAUGGAUAAAACAGUCAGCUAUAAGAAUACAACAUUAUUUCUAAAUGUCAGUGUGCUUAUUUUGUAGCAAAUGCAUAAAUGUGGGGAUAUAAGUAUUUCCCUGAAUUUCUAACAUGCAUUGACAUUCCACUGAAGACAUUAUACAGUGCUGCGACGACAUGCAGGAAGGUUACAAUGCAGUGAUGUCCGAGUGACGCUACCAUCAAUAACUCAUGUCGGAAGAUAUAUAAAAACUGUCAUAAAAUGGAGAAUAAUUUGCUUUCAGUAUGGUAUAUCACAUCGCAACUUGCAAUUAGACGUUUAAUUUGUGGUUCUCUGCUUCAGACUGGCGAUAGACUGACUUAAAAUAUGUCAUGGAAUGACAGUUCGAGCGGCACAGUAACCAGGGAACAUACCAGCAGACAUCCCUGACACAAUGCGUUCGGCUGAAUGUCAAAGGGAGACUACUCCUCCUCAACAUUUUAAUCACUGAAAUUCAGA